rnacentral:rRNA from 1 species
UGGGUGAUCUGCCCUGCACUCUGGGAUAAGCCUGAGAAACUGGGUCUAAUACCGGAUAUACCUCAUGGACUGCAUGGUUUGUGGGGGAAAGCUUUUGCGGUGUGGGAUGGGCCCGCGGCCUAUCAGCUUGUUGGGUGGGGUGAUGGCCUACCAAGGCGACGGACGGGUAGCUGGCCUGGAGAGGGUGUCCGGCCACACGUGGGACUGAGAUACCGGCCCAGACCUCCGUACGGGAGCA